rnacentral:tRNA from 1 species
GGGCAUAUGGCGGAAUUGGUAGACGCGCUGGAUUUAGGUUCCAGUGAAGAAAUUCGUGGAGGUUCGACCCCUCUUAUGCCCACCA